ACACGAACCGUCCAAACGUUAUUCGGAAUUACUGGGCUUAAAGGGUGCGUAGGCGGUGCGGUACGUUGGGUGUGAAAUCCCUCGGCUCAACCGGGGAACUGCGCUCAAUACUGCCGUACUUGAGGGAGACAGAGGUAAGCGGAACUGAUGGUGGAGCGGUGAAAUGCGUUGAUAUCAUCAGGAACACCAGUAGCGAAAGCGGCUUACUGGGUCUCUUCUGACGCUGAGGCACGAAAGCUAGGGUAGCGAACGGGAUUAGAUACCCCAGUAGUCC
rnacentral:rRNA from 1 species